rnacentral:rRNA from 1 species
CCAAUAGCGUAUAUUAAGGUUGCUGCGGUUAAAAAGCUCGUAGUUGAAUUUCGGGAUUGAUGCAUCGGUCGUGCCUUAAGGGGUAUGAACUGGUGUGGUCAAUUUCUUACCUUCUGGUGAAUUGUGAUGUCCUCCUCAAUUGGGUGUUUCAAUGAACUAGGACUUUUUACUUUGAAAAAAUUAGAGUGUUUAAAGCAGGCAUUAUUUGCUUGAAUACAUUAGCAUGGAAUAAUAAAAUAGGACAAUGAUUCUAUUUUGUUGGUUUCUAGGAUCACUGUAAUGAUUAAUAGGGAUAGUUGGGGGCAUUAGUAUUCAAUUGUCAGAGGUGAAAUUCUUGGAUUAAUUGAAGACUAACUACUGCGAAAGCAUUUGCCAAGGAUAUUUUCAUUAAUCAAGAACGAAAGUUAGGGGAUCGAAGACGAUUAGGUACGUCGUAGUCUUAACCAUAAACUAUGCCGACUAGGAAUCAGACAACGAUAAAUUUUUAAUGACUUGUUUGGCACCUUACG